rnacentral:rRNA from 1 species
UACGGAGGGGGCUAGCGUUGUUCGGAAUUACUGGGCGUAAAGCGCACGUAGGCGGCUUUGUAAGUUAGAGGUGAAAGCCCAGAGCUCAACUCUGGAACUGCCUUUAAGACUGCAUCGCUUGAAUCAUGGAGAGGUUAGUGGAAUUCCGAGUGUAGAGGUGAAAUUCGUAGAUAUUCGGAAGAACACCAGUGGCGAAGGCGACUAACUGGACAUGUAUUGACGCUGAGGUGCGAAAAGCGUGGGGAGCAAACAGG